AAUUUUCCUUCAAGAUUCUAGAGUAAGAUAAGUGAAGCUGGGGUGUCUUUGAUGCAAGGGGCUAGUGUUAGUGUUGGACUGCUACUAUGUGGUGAACUGGAAUUUAUGAGUUCCCGGUUUACAAUUCUUAGUUCUGUUAUGUAUCUUGAUGACAGCUAGCGGCUUGUUUAUAUUUACAGAGAGGUCCCAUAAUGAAGUUGAGCUGGUAUUUUUACCUGAAACAGAAUAUUGACAACUUUUUGAUGGCGUACUCUGAGUCUUUAGAUAUUUGAUACUCUGAUUUGAUCCUAAAGGUUCUGGAUUAUUGCAAAAUGAGUAGCAGCAAGACCAUUGUUUGGUUUAGGAGGGACCUUAGAAUUGAGGAUAAUCCUGCAUUAGCUGCUUCUGCAAGGGAUGGUUGUGUUUUCCCAAUAUUUAUAUGGUGCCCUAAAGAAGGACAGUUCUACCCGGGUCGAGUGUCGAGGUGGUGGCUGAAGCAGUCCAAUGCUCAAUUGGGACAAUCCUUGGAAAUCUCUUGGUGCUGAACUCGUUCUGAUCAAAACCCAUAGUACAGUUGGUGCUCUUCUGGACAGCAUCGAAACUAUUGGGGCGACGACAGUGGCAUUUAACCAUCUUUAUGAUCCUGUCUCUCUUGUUCAUGACUUAUUUUUCUGCGUCAUGUGACUCAGAUUCAAGGCUCCAAAUUGGACCCAGAGGGUGAAUACGUUCGGCACUGGCUGCCUGAGCUAACAAGAAUGCCAACUGAAUGGAUCCAUCAUCCCCGGGAUGCACCCAUUAGUACUGCGCUUAAAGUUGCUGUGGUGGAAUGGGGAGUAAACUAUCCAGACCCUAUAACUGAUAUAGAUUUUUGCUAGAGAGCAUCUAGCGAAAGCUAUAUUCAAGAUGUGGGAAGUGGAAGCAGCCGCAAGAGCUUCAAAGUCAAGUGGAACAGUUGAAGUUGUUCUUGAUAAAUGAUACUAAGAAUUUGGCCAUUCCGAAGGUUGUCUUGAAGGAAAAGGCUCCUUGUCCUACUAAUUCAUCUAAUGAUCAGAGGGUCCCAAAAAAUCAGAAUUACAAGAAUAUUCCAGCUCAUAGGAAGAGAUCAAAGUUCAUUGAAGAAGAAAGACCACAACCAUAUAAAUUGCACAAUGAUGAUAAUGUGGUGGGUACCUCAAGAAAGGGUGAAGAAUUGUGUUCUUCUCAGUCUUCAGCAUCUAAGAAGCAGGCCACCAGCAGAUGUUCAUUUUCUGUUCCUCAUCAGAAUGCAAGCCUUCGCAGGAGUGUGAAUCUUCUGACCUCGAGCAUUCAUGGGAAGCACAAAUUGAAAUGGAACAGAGUUCAUGCAAAGAUGGUAAGCAAUUGCACUUUUAGUAUUUUGUUUUUCAAGUAACAAUGCUAUAAUUGGGGGGAAAAACAAGAAAAAACUUAUUAAAAUAUAUAUGAGCCAUUAAAUGGUAUUUCACAAAUUUUUUGAA